AUUGAACGCUGGCGGCAGGCCUAACACAUGCAAGUCGAACGAGUGGCGGACGGGUGAGUAAUGUCUGGGAAACUGCCUGAUGGAGGGGGAUAACUACUGGAAACGGUAGCUAAUACCGCAUACCAUCGGAUGUGCCCAGGUGGGAUUAGCUAGUAGGUGGGGUAAAGGCUCACCUAGGCGACGAUCCCUAGCUGGUCUGAGAGGAUGACCAGCAAAACUGGAAAGGAGAAACGUUCCAGACUCCUACGGGAGGCAUCAGUGGGGAAUAUUGGACAAAGGGCGCAAGCCUGAGGCAGCCAGGCCGCGGGUAUGAAGAAGGCCUGCGGGUUGUAAAGUACUUUCAGCAGGGAGGCGUGACACGCAGAAGAAGCACAGGCUAACGCCGUGACAGCCGCCGCGGUAAUAC
rnacentral:rRNA from 1 species